rnacentral:rRNA from 1 species
AUACGGAAGGUCCGGGCGUUAUCCGGAUUUAUUUGGUUCAAAGGGAGCGUAGGCCGGAGAUUAAGCGUGUUGUGAAAUGUAGACGCUCAACGUCUGCACUGCAGCGCGAACUGGUUUCCUUGAGUACGCACAAAGUGGGCGGAAUUCGUGGUGUAGCGGUGAAAUGCUUAGAUAUCACGAAGAACUCCGAUUGCGAAGGCAGCUCACUGGAGCGCAACUGACGCUGAAGCUCGAAAGUGCGGGUAUCGAACAGGAUUAGAUACCCUGGUAGUCCGCACGGUAAACGAUGGAUGCCCGCUGUUGGUCUGAAUAGGUCAGCGGCCAAGCGAAAGCAUUAAGCAUCCCACCUGGGGAGUACGCCGGCAACGGUGAAACUCAAAGGAAUUGACGGGGGCCCGCACAAGCGGAGGAACAUGUGGUUUAAUUCGAUGAUACGCGAGGAACCUUACCCGGGCUUGAAUUGCAGAGGAAGGAUUUGGAGACAAUGACGCCCUUCGGGGCCUCUGUGAAGGUGCUGCAUGGUUGUCGUCAGCUCGUGCCGUGAGGUGUCGGCUUAAGUGCCAUAACGAGCGCAACCCCUCUCCUUAGUUGCCAUCAGGUUAAGCUGGGCACUCUGGGGACACUGCCACCGUAAGGUGUGAGGAAGGUGGGGAUGACGUCAAAUCAGCACGGCCCUUACGUCCGGGGCUACACACGUGUUACAAUGGCAGGUACAGAGAGACGGUCCCUUGCAAAACGGAUCAAAUCCUUAAAGCCUGUCUCAGUUCGGACUGGGGUCUGCAACCCGACCCCACGAAGCUGGAUUCGCUAGUAAUCGCGCAUCAGCCAUGGCGCGGUGAAUACGUUCCCGGGCCUUGUACACACCGCCCGUCAAGCCAUGAAAGCCGGGGGCGCCUAAAGUCCGUGACCGUAAGGAGCGGCCUAGGGCGAAACUGGURAUUGGGGCU